rnacentral:rRNA from 1 species
GUACCGGAAGAAUAAGCACCGGCUAACUACGUGCCAGCAGCCGCGGUAAUACGUAGGGUGCAAGCGUUAAUCGGAAUUACUGGGCGUAAAGCGUGCGCAGGCGGUCCGCUAAGACAGAUGUGAAAUCCCCGGGCUUAACCUGGGAACUGCAUUUGUGACUGGCGGGCUAGAGUAUGGCAGAGGGGGGUAGAAUUCCACGUGUAGCAGUGAAAUGCGUAGAGAUGUGGAGGAAUACCGAUGGCGAAGGCAGCCCCCUGGGCCAAUACUGACGCUCAUGCACGAAAGCGUGGGGAGCAAACAGGAUUAGAUACCCUGGUAGUCCACGCCCUAAACGAUGUCAACUAGUUGUCGGGUCUUCAUUGACUUGGUAACGAAGCUAACGCGUGAAGUUGACCGCCUGGGGAGUACGGUCGCAAGAUUAAAACUCAAAGGAAUUGACGG